UUUGAGACAGUUUGCAAGCGGUUGGACACUAAUCACUUCAUCGGUGACCGAUCAGACAGGUAUACAUGUCUGAAUAAUAAUUAUAACUUUAUGUCAAAUAGUAAUAUAAUUAAAACUAUGUAAUUGUAAUUGAAAGUUAAUACAUUACGUAUAAAAGCAUAAAACCGUAUAGUUUAGAUGUGUGUGUGUUGCAAAAAAAAAAACUGUUUAGAUGCGAACGAAAUACACAUUGUUAGUAACGACAAAAAGGUGCCUUAUCACUCUAUUAGGCCUGGACAGAUCGGAUAUCUGGGGUAUUUUAAAAUAUUCAGAUCCGCAUUCUUAUCCGACGGAUCCAUGAUUUUAUUAUCUUUAUCUGAAUUUGGGGUUCUCGGAUAUCCAGAUAUCAGAUAUCCUUCUAAACAUUGUAAUAUCCGGCGGAUAUCUGGAU
rnacentral:lncRNA from 1 species